UUAGAUACCCCACUAUGCUUAGCCCUUAACAUAGACAGUAAGAACACAAUACUGUCCGCCAGAGAACUACAAGUGAAAAACUAGAAACUCCAAGGACUUGGCGGUGCCCCAUAUCAGCCUAGAGGAGCCUGUCCUAUAAUCGAUAAUCCACGUUAAACCUUACCACCUCUAGCAACUCAGCCUAUAUACCGCCGUCGAAAGCUUACCUUGUGAAAGAAACAAAGUAAGCAAAAUAGUCAAUAACUAGCACGUCAGGUCAAGGUGUAGCACAUGAGAUGGAAGAGAUGGGCUACAUUUUCUACCCUAGAAAACACGAACAGCACAAUGAAACCUGUACUCAAAGGCGGAUUUAGUAGUAAGACAAAAAAGAAAUUUUGCCUUAAACCCGCUCUGGGACGCGCACACACCGCCCG
rnacentral:rRNA from 1 species